AGACAGCGAAGCGAACACGGAGAAGUAAAAGAGAGGAAGGGGACGAUGCUCACGUGAUCUGCACGUGUGGUUUUUUUUGUCUAUUUAGUGACCGUGGUUUCUUUCUUCUUCUCCCACAUCUGCCUGACGUCGCCGUCGUCGUCUUCUUCUUCUUCUUCUUCUCGCUGUGCUUGGUUGAGAUCGACUUAAUGGCGGACGAGGGCACAGCCAACUGCAUCGAUAUCAUUCUGGCCAUCAUCCUCCCUCCGCUCGGUGUCUUCCUCAAGUUCGGAUGCAAGGCGGAGUUCUGGAUCUGCCUGUUGUUGACGAUUCUGGGCUACAUCCCCGGGAUCAUCUACGCGGUGUACGCCAUAACCAAGUAAAAUUGCUCCUCGGAGCUCCUCUGUAAGGAAGUGGUGAUACGAUGGUGGCGCUGCUCUGUGAUUGAUUCGUUCGUCUGUACAAAUGAUUUCUUCUACUAGUUGUUGAGAGUUCUGUGAACUCUAGCUUUGUUUUCGACUGUUGUGUUGCUGUAUUGGUUGAUUUGUCGUCAUCGUCAAUAAAUGAAGCACUAAGUUUCUUGCGUC